AGGAUAAACGCUGGCGGCGUGCCUAACACAUGCAAGUCGAACGCAUUCGAGUAAUCGGAUGAGUGGCGGACGGGUGAGUAACACGUGGGUAACCUACCCUGUGGUGAGGAAUACUGGCGAGAAAUCGCUAACAAUACCGCAUAUGUUUGCGUCAUGCAAACAAAGCUUCGUGAAGAAGCGCCACACGAUGGGCUCACGCCCGAUUAGCUGGUUGGUGGGGUAAUGGCCUACCAAGGCGACGAUCGGUAGC
rnacentral:rRNA from 1 species